UACACCCUGAUGUGUUCCUGCCUAUGUGCCUCCACAGUUGUUCCUGAACUGGGAUAAUCUUGCCACACAUGGGAUGUCAAUUCUAGAGAGAGUUUUGAUUGUCAGGACUGGAGAAGCUUUGCUGCCAUGAGGAUGCAGACAUCAAGGAUGCUGCUGCCAUAAGUUUGGGCGUGGUCACAGGUGUGCACCUUACCCAUACUUUAAAGGUGUGAAUAUUGCAUAUGUUUAUCGUGUGUGCAGAUUGCCCCCAUUUCACAGAUGUAUAAGAGCAACAAACAGAAGGAGGCUGUACCUAAUUUAUAGCUUGCCUGUAUUUGGGUAUAAUGAAAGGAAUUAAACUCAUCAUGUCAGGAGAGUAUGUUAGUUGGGGGGGAGCCAAACACCCUCCACCUUCUUGCUUCUGGACUCCAGUCCUGCCAGCUGCCAGCGUGAAAGAGAAGUGUGUGGUGUCACCAAGUUUUAGAUUGAGGCAAGCAACUCCACAAUGGCCCUCAACAGAGCAACCAGGAAGACCCAUCAACUGCCCAGGACUCAAAGCUA